UGUGCUGCAGCUGCGCGCUCUGCCGGCCUGUCCUCCUGAGGAGAUCGCGGUAAGGACUUCAGCUGGUAGCAGCCAGUGCACAAGAAAGAAGACGUGUCAUGUGGAACUGUGACGCAACAAUGGGUGACAAGAAGACCACCAGAAGACUGAAGAGGGGGAAAAGUAAAGGCACUGCCCUGUCAGCAGGGCUACAGUAAGCAGAACAGCGCUGGCACAUUAGGUGCCCGGGUUGGUUUUCUACUGUGUGACCACUCUGUAAGCAAGGGUGCAGGUGCUCAGGCUGCUUCUGUGUGCGCCCUACCCUACUUACCCAGGGUUGGAGCCGCACGGCAGAAGUAGCUUGAGGAGCUCUGUGCCUCAGGAUGGUGAGAAAAGUUGAUUUAAGUUGGUGUUGGUAAGACAAAGCCAGGGAUCCAAACGCAGCUCCUCAAAACAACCACCCUAAUGAACACAAACUUGAAAGUCCUCCCCAUUUCUUUCUGGCACAGGAGGUGGAGCUUCGAACCCAUGUCUAAUGGCUUGUGCUUUGUUUGCAGCAG